rnacentral:rRNA from 1 species
UGCCAGCAGCCGCGGUAAUACGGGGGGGACAAGCGUUAUUCGGAAUUACUGGGCGUAAAGGGCGCGUAGGUGGCUUGGUCAGUGAGAAGUGAAAGCCCUCGGCUUAACCGGGGAACUGCUUCUCAUACUGCUGAGCUAGAGUGUGGGAGAGGAGAAUAGAAUUUCCGGUGGAGCGGUGAAAUGCGUAGAGAUCGGAAGGAACACCAGUGGCGAAGGCGAUUCUCUGGACCACAACUGACGCUGAGGCGCGAAAGCGUGGGGAGCAAACAGGAUUAGAUA